rnacentral:rRNA from 1 species
CCAGACUCCUACGGGAGGCAGCAGUGGGGAAUAUUGCACAAUGGGGGGAACCCUGAUGCAGCGACGCCGCGUGGGUGAAGGAGCACCUCGGUGCGUAAAGCCCUAUCGGCAGGGAAGAAACAGACGGUACCUGACUAAGAAGCCCCGGCUAACUACGUGCCAGCAGCCGCGGGAAUACGUAGGGGGCAAGCGUUAUCCGGAUUUACUGGGUGUAAAGGGCGCGUAGGCGGGAUGGCAAGUCAGAUGUGAAAUCCAAGGGCUCAACUCUUGAACUGCAUUUGAAACUGUCGUUCUUGAGUACUGGAGAGGUUGACGGAAUUCCUAGUGUAGCGGUGAAAUGCGUAGAUAUCACGCAGAACUCCGAUUGCGAAGGCAGCAUACCGGCGCCCAACUGACGCUGAAGCACGAAAGCGUGGGUAUCGAACAGGAUUAGAUACCCUAGUAC